rnacentral:rRNA from 1 species
UGCAGUCGAGGGGCAGCACGGUGUAGCAAUACAUUGGUGGCGACCGGCGCACGGGUGCGUAACGCGUAUACAAUUUGCCUUAUACUGGGAGAUAGCCCGGAGAAAUUCGGAUUAAUAUCCCAUAAUAUUUUUUCACCGCAUGGUGAGAAUCUUAAAGCUACGGCGGUAUAAGAUGAGUAUGCGUCUGAUUAGCUAGUUGGUGAGGUAAUGGCUCACCAAGGCAACGAUCAGUAGGGGGCCUGAGAGGAUUAACCCCCACACGGAUACUGAGACACGGAUCCGACUCCUACGGGAGGCAGCAGUAAGGAAUAUUGGACAAUGCCCGCAAGGGUGAUCCAGCCAUGCCGCGUGCAGGAAGAAGGCGCUAUGCGUCGUAAACUGCUUUUACACCGGAGAAAACCUCCCCUCGUGAGGGGAGCUGAUAGUAUGGUGAGAAUAAGCAUCGGCUAACUUCGUGCCAGCAGCCGCGGUAAGACGAAGGAUGCAAGCGUUAUCCGGAUUUAUUGGGUUUAAAGGGAGCGUAGGUGGCCUUAUAAGUCAGUGGUGAAAGACUGUCGCUUAACGACGGAAUUGCCAUUGAUACUGUAGGGCUUGAGUAUAGUUGCUGUGGGCGGAAUAUGACAUGUAGUGGUGAAAUACUUAGAGAUGUCAUAGAACACCGAUUGCGAAGGCAGCUCACAAAACUAUAACUGACACUGAGGCUCGAAAGUGCGGGGAUCAAACAGGAUUAGAUACCCUGGUAGUCCGCACUGUAAACGAUGAUUACUCGUUGCUGGGAAGCAAUUUUCAGUGACUAAGCGAAAGCGAUAAGUAAUCCACCUGGGGAGUACGCCGACAACGGUGAAACUCAAAGGAAUUGACGGGGGCCCGCACAAGCGGAGGAGCAUGU